rnacentral:lncRNA from 1 species
CCGUUUCUUUCAAAAGGAAAGAGCAGAGAAUUUUAAAGUCCCGAACGGAGACUAUGUCAGCACUCUUUGUCAUCUUCCUCUCAUUCGCAACUCAGGAGACAGAAGUUCAUUGAGCGCUGCAGAGCAGAGUUCAGCGCUCAAAAGUAUGCGGAGUUUGAGCAGAGAGUCACGACGCUAGAGCCGAGGAGCAUGGCAGAUCAUAUGGGCGUAACAAUUCAAGUCGGAAUCAAAAGGUAUGUUGAUGCACUCACAGAUACAUCGUUUCUAGAACUGCAGGGACAGGUAGGAGAGUGGGUCGAGCAACAGGUCCAAUCUUGGUUGAUCUUUUUUGUUUGAUCUAUUUCUUUCUGUUCCAGUGCAGAGACAAUGACCAGCAGCCGCAGCCACAGCACCAGCACCAACAGCAACAGGGAUGGCUCAACUCUAGAACUGCAGGGACAGGUUUGCUGAUGCACUCACGGAUACAUCGUUUCUAGAACUGCAGGGACAGGUAGGAGUGUGGGUCAAGCAACAGGUCCAAUCUUGAUUGAUCUUUUUUGUUUGAUCUAUUUCUUUCUGUUCCAGUGCAGAGACGAUGACCAGCAGCCACAGCACUAGCACCAACAGCAACAGGGAUGGCUCGACUCUAGAACUGCAGGGACAGGUAUGCUGAUGCACUCACGGAUACAUCGUUUCUAGAACUGCAGGGACAGGUAGGAGUGUGGGUCGAGCAACAGGUCCA